rnacentral:rRNA from 1 species
UACGUAGGGGGCUAGCGUUGUCCGGAAUCAUUGGGCGUAAAGAGCGUGUAGGCGGCCCGGAAAGUCUGGUGUGAAAACUUGAGGCUCAACCUCAAGCUGUCACUGGAUACUGUCGGGCUUGAGUCCGGAAGAGGAGAGUGGAAUUCCUGGUGUAGCGGUGGAAUGCGCAGAUAUCAGGAGGAACACCAGUGGCGAAGGCGGCUCACUGGUCCGGUACUGACGCUGAUGUGCGAAAGCGUGGGGAGCAAACAGG